UACGGAGGGUGCAAGCGUUAAUCGGAAUUACUGGGUGUAAAGCGCGCGUAGGCGGCUUUGCAAGUCGGGUGUGAAAUCCCCAGGCUUAACCUGGGAACUGCAUUCGAGACUGCAUUGCUAGAGUAUGGGAGAGGGAAGUGGAAUUUCCGGUGUAGCGGUGAAAUGCGUAGAUAUCGGAAGGAACAUCAGUGGCGAAAGCGACUUCCUGGACCAAUACUGACGCUCAUGUGCGAAAGCGUGGGGAGCAAACAGG
rnacentral:rRNA from 1 species